rnacentral:rRNA from 1 species
CCUACGGGUGGCAGCAGUGAGGAAUAUUGGUCAAUGGCCGUAAGGCUGAACCAGCCAAGUAGCGUGAGGGAAGACUGCCCUAUGGGUUGUAAACUUCUUUUGUCAGGGAGCAAUUGGGUCCACGCGUGGGCUUAGCGAGAGUACCUGAAGAAAAAGCAUCGGCUAACUCCGUGCAAGAAGCCGCGGUAAUACGGAGGAUGCGAGCGUUAUCCGGAUUUAUUGGGGUUAAAGGUUGCGUAGGCGGAAUAUCAAGUCAGCGGUAAAAAUUCGGGGCUCAACCCCGUCGUGCCGUUGAAACUGAUGUUCUUGAGUGGGCGAGAAGUAUGCGGAAUGCGUGGUGUAGCGGUGAAAUGCAUAGAUAUCACGCAGAACUCCGAUUGCGAAGGCAGCAUACCGGCGCCCAACUGACGCUGAAGCACGAAAGCGUGGGUAUCGAACAGGAUUAGAUACCCGGGUAGUC